ACUAUUUCUCUCCCUUAUAAAAUACUUUUCCCGCUUCUCAACUUCUCAGUUCCCUCUUCUCUCUGUUUCUAGAUAAACUGAAAUAAUUGCUGCUGAGUGUUUGACCUCUUUCUCGCCGGAGAAUCGGAAGCACUUCGUUUUCCGUUGUUCACACAGCAGAAGUUUUCAAUGCGGUGAAACAAGAACAAAUGGAUGUAGUUACUGAAAAAGAGUGGGAGUAUCGUGCAUUGAAGGCAAGGAUAGAAGAAAGGAAAAAAGACCGCAAGAAGAAACAAGAGGACAGACCAACUUUAAUGUGGGAAACUUGGGAAGAAACAUAUGACAAAUGGCUUGUGAAACACUUCGCAGAUGAUUUGGAUAAUCAGAAUGAGUUAUUGUGUGAAACGGUGGAGCCAUCAUCAGAUAUGAUUGUGCCAUUGUUCAGGUACCAGAAGGAGUGGUUGUUUUGGGCUCUUAAGCAAGAAGAAUCUUCAUCCAAAGGGGGUAUUCUUGCUGAUGAGAUGGGAAUGGGGAAGACUAUCCAAGCGAUAGCACUUGUGCUUGCUAAAAGGGAAUUAGGGAAAACAAUUAGCAAACCUAGUUUAUUGUCAUCUUCAUCCAGUACUAAUAAGCAGGAACCCUCAGCAGUAAAAGGCACUCUUAUCUUAUGCCCUAUGGUUGCUGUCCUUCAGUGGGUUACUGAGAUCAAUCGAUGCACCAUUGAAGGUAGCAACAAAAUUCUUGUGUAUCAUGGUUCUAACAGAAGGAAACUUAGCCGCGAUAUUGAAGAAUAUGAUUUUGUCAUCACCACAUACUCCACUGUUGAGGCUGAAUAUAGGAAAUUUGUCAUGCAGCCAAAACAAAAGUGCGAGUGGUGUGGCAAAGCAUAUUAUGAAGAAAAGUUGCCCAUUCACCAGAAGAGUUUUUGUGGACCAGAUGGUGUUAAAACUGCCAAGCAGUCAAAGAAGCAGAGGAAAAAGUUAAAACUUGACGAGGAAUUGUUGAUGCAGAAAACAGAUUCUACUGAGUCAGAGACUUAUUUGCAGAUAACAGAUUUUAUGGAGUCAGAGACGAAUGUGCAGGAAGAAGGUUCUACCGCAGAGACUGAUAUGAAGAAAACGGGUCGUAGAAAGUACAUGAAGCGUAGUAGCAUGGCAGAAGAAGGAAAAAAUGAUGGUUCUAUGGAUACUUCAUCCAGUGUAAAUCAAGAUUUGCCACAGAGGAAGUCAAUUUUGCAUUCAGUGAAGUGGGAUCGCAUCAUCUUGGAUGAGGCUCAUUAUGUAAAAGAUAGGCGCUGCAACACGACAAAAGCUACUCUUAGUUUGAAAUCUUCUUAUAAGUGGGCCUUAAGUGGUACUCCGAUUCAGAAUCUUGUUGGAGAAUUAUAUUCACUUGUCCGUUUCCUACAAAUAGUACCCUACUCUUUUUACUUUUGCAAGGACUGUGAUUGCAGAACACUUGACUACAGCUCUACAUCCGAGUGCCCACAAUGCCCCCACAAAUCAGUACGGCACUUUUGCUUUUGGAACAGAUACAUUGCUACACCUAUAAAACGUGAAGGAAGCUAUGGGAGUGGUAGAGAUGCGAUGUUCCUUUUGAAGCAUAAAAUUCUAAAAAGCAUCCUACUAAGGCGUAGUAAAAAGGGAAGAGCUGCUGAUCUUGCUCUUCCUCUUAAAAUUGUUACUUUGAGAAAAGAUUCUUUGGAUGUCAUAGAAGAAGACUACUACACGUCAUUGUACAAUAAAAGUCAGGCACAGUUUAAUACUUAUGUUAAAGGUGGAACAGUGAUGAACAACUAUGCACACAUUUUUGAGCUGCUUACACGCCUACGGCAGGCAGUUGAUCAUCCUUAUCUUGUGGUGUACUCGAGUACUGCUUUGGCUAAAAUGGCAAACUCUGGAAAUGUUGAGCAACCUUGUGGCUUAUGUCAUGAUGCAGUAGAAGAUCCAGCUGUUACUUCUUGCAUGCAUGUCUUUUGCAAGACGUGUUUGAUAGACUUUGCUGCAAGUGCUAGACAAGUGCCAUGCCCUCUGUGUUCUGAACUACUUACAAUUGACUUCACUGUAAAUACUGAUAAGGUGGAUCAGAAUUCUAAACAGACUCUCAAAGGGUUUAGAUCCUCAAGUAUACUGAACAGAAUUCAGCUAGACGAUUUCCAGUCCAGCACUAAAAUAGAUGCUUUGAGGGAAGAAAUUAGGUUCAUGAUUGAAAGAGAUGGUUCUGCAAAAGGAAUAGUUUUCAGCCAGUUCACAUCGUUUUUGGAUUUGAUACACUAUUCUCUUCAGAAGUCGGGCAUCAAUUGUGUUCAAUUAGUCGGAUCUAUGUCUAUUGAUGCAAGAGCUGCAGCAGUUACCAAAUUUACUGAGGAUUCAGAUUGCAGGAUAUUUCUUAUGAGCUUAAAAGCUGGAAGUGUUGCACUCAAUCUUACUGUUGCAUCACAGGUUUUCAUGAUGGAUCCUUGGUGGAAUCCUGCUGUGGAGCGCCAAGCACAAGACCGAAUUCAUCGAAUAGGGCAAUAUAAACCUGUCAGGAUUGUGAGAUUUGUGAUUGAAAAUACAGUUGAAGAGAAGAUCUUAAAGUUACAGGAGAAGAAGGAACUUGUUUUUGAAGGUAGAGUAAUUAUGAGAGAUGGCACUCAUCAGUUUAAUUCUAACUAGAGAAGGCCAUCUCAAAGUGGCUGGAAGCUGCCCCACUUUCUUCCUUGCUCUAGGGUGGAGGACAAUUGGUGGCUCUUCAGAGGCCUUUGCAAAGUUAACUGAAGCAGACUUGAAAUUCUUGUUUACAACUUAAAUUGGUUGAUAUUUUGCUUUUCAGUUCAAGAAGCAGAUUCACUUGUAUUUUUUGCUUUUAGAACAAAGUUCUUUUAUAGACUAGUAUAUAUACUUCUGAAUUUAGCCAUUUCCCUUUUGGAUUGUCCAGGAAAUGUCGCUUUUGCAUCACCAUCAUAGCUUAUGAUCUGUGUAUCACCAUCAUAGCUUAUGAUCUGGGCAGAGUAUCUGUGUAGUUCUCUUUUCAGCACAAUCAAAUUUCUGAUUUCUUGGCACUGUUCAUUUCUAGUAAUGUAAUAUUUUGACGAGAUGGGUCUUUCAAGUUACAUUUUGGGGAAGUUAUAAGCAUCUACAUAUUUGUAGAUAAA